ACGAGGAAGCCGAGGCCCCCAUCUCCUCAUUUCCCUUCCAGGUGUCGGAGGCUGUGAUGAGCAUUUACAAGAACCUGGACUCCAUCAGCGAGCCGCUGUCCCGGAAGGAGCUGUUCAGGGCCCUUCUCGUGCUGGGCAACCAGUACAGCGAGGAGGUGGUCAGAACCCUGCUGGGCUGCUCGCUGUCAUGUGACAGCGUUGCUGCGGAGAUGUGGCGGAUGCUGGCAUCCCACUGCCAGACCAUAGAAAAGGUCCUAAAGGAGCUGCUCAACACGCUGCAGGAGCAGCCGCUGCACCACCAUCAUGUCUCUCAGAGAGAGGCCCCCUUGGCCGUAAGUAUCAGCCCCUGCAGCAAGGGAAGGAGCGCCGUGUGUCCCCAUCACUGCCUGAGGGUGUCUCUCAGUCUCCCACUGGGUAUAGUCAUUGGACCGAAGAGAGAGAGCGUGUCUCUAGCCAGUGCUAUAGUCGAGCCGGAACACGCCGAAACGCUCUCCUGGUGCUAUUCAGCAGCACUCCUAGAACCACAGGGUGAGAAGGGAUCGCAGGGUCAGCUUGUCCAGCCCCCUGCCACGAGGCAGGACUUGUUGUGUCUAACCCACCCCAGACAGAUGGCUCCAGCCUCCUUCUGAAAACCUCCAACGAAGGAGUUUCCACAAGCUCCCUAGGUGUCUGUCCCAUCGUCCUACUCUUCUUACCGUUAGGAAGCUUUUCCUGAGGUUUAAUCUACAUCUGCUGUGCUGUAGUUUGACCCCAUCACCUCUUGUCCUGCCCUCUGUGGAAAGAGAGAACAACUUUUCUCCAUCUUUUUUUAUGGCAGCCUUCCAAGUAUCUGAAGACCGUUAUCAAGUCCCCCCUUAAUCUCCUCUUUUCCAAACUAAACAUAGCCAGUUCCUUCAGCCUUUGCUCGUAUGGCUUGUGUUCCAUCCCUCUGAUCAUCUUUGUUACUCGCCUCUGGAUCCAUUACAGUUUCUCCACAUCCUUUCUAGACAUUGGUGACCAAAACUGGACACUGUCCUCCAGCUGAGGCCUAACCAGUGCUGAGUAGAGCGGUACUAUCGCCUCCCAAAACUUGCAUGCUAUACCUCUGUUAAUGCAACCUAAAAUUGCAUUUGCUUUUUUUGCAACAGCAUCGCAUUGCUGACUCAUGCUGAGCUUGUGAUCGACCACAGCUCCCAGAUCCUUCUCAGAAG
rnacentral:lncRNA from 1 species